rnacentral:rRNA from 1 species
AUUGAACGCUGGCGGCAGGCCUAACACAUGCAAGUCGAGCGAGCGGCGGACGUGUGAGUAAUGUAUGGGUCCUGCCCGAUAGAGGGGUAUCACUACUGGAAACUGUGUCUAAUCCCGCAUACUAGCGUCUACCCCAUAUGGGAUGAGCUAGUAGGUGGGGUAAAGGCUCACCUAGGCGACGCUCUCUAGCUGGUCUGAGAGGAUGAUCAGCCACACUGGGACUGAGACACGGCCCAGACUCCGACGGAGGCAGCAGUGGGGAAUAGUGCACAAUGGGCGAAAGCCUGAUGCAGCCAUGCCGCGUGUAUGAAGAAGGCCUUAGGGUUGUAAAGUACUUUCAGCGGGGAGGCGUUACCGACAGAAGAAGCACCGGCUAACUCCGUGCCAGCAGCCGCGGUAAUUC